rnacentral:lncRNA from 1 species
GCGCGGACCAGCGGUUCGCAGGACGCAUUCCAGAACCUCAACAACAAGUGGGGCUCUGACUGGGAGACCGCCACUGCGCCCAAGUUUCCCCUCGACAUCAACAUUAUCGGCGCAGACGGCGAGUCGGUGAGUCCCCUCGGCCGCCAGCUCACGCGCUGUGUUUGAAGGAUGCCUUCGAGUUCUGUGUGUAGAGAGUGGUACUGGUACUUGGCCAGAUGAAUACAUGUUUCAGGAUCUGGGCUGGGCAUUCUAGGGUGUACCGUUGUCUGCGUGAAGCACGGGGCUAACAUGCUGCAUGAGUGCAUAUAAUUUCUAUACGGCCUACCACUGCAACCGCCCACAUCCUCGAAAACAAAUUCAUGCAUGUAUGGUGCACAUGGCCGCGCAAUAUGAGUGAUCCUGCCUGUGCCAUGGUCAGGUGUCGGCGUACCAGGUGAUUUCCAGCGGAGGAGCCACGGGCAAGAUGCCGACGACGGUGCAGUUCAAGAUCUCCAACCCUGGAGACCAGGCG